CUCUGGGGCGGGCGGGGGGGGGCGGUCCACGGGCCCCCUACGCCCUUUCCCAGAGCGGGGUCUCACUGGCUCCAUGAAGGAAAACAAGGCUGGCUUAUGGUGAAUUUCCAGUCAUUUCAGCUCUGGUUCCCUGAUGAGAGAGAAGCUAAGAAGCCGCUAGAAGGGACAAGAUACUAACAAGAAGUGGUGCCCAAAGAGGCCCUUAUUGGAGCCCUGGGAUUAGAGGAAGUUGAGAGAGGUAGCCAGGAAAAGUAUCAAUAGGAAACACCAGAAGGUGCUGAGCAAAAGUGGUAUUGAAAUAUUGGUGGUUAACAAAGUGCUUUGCAUAUUGUGGGCACUUAAUAAAUGCUUGAUCCUGAAUUUGUAACCUGGUGUCUUGGUGAGAGCUCUGAAUUCAGUCAGAAAACUGAGUUCAGCCCUUGACUGGACACCAGCUAUGACCUUGGACAUGUCACUCAAAGCCUCUCUGGCUUCCUUCACAGCUCCUGGGAGGCUUCCCUGAAGCCCCCACCCCCCCAAUCAAAUUACUUUGCUUUUACUUGGUAUGUACUCUGUGUUUUAACAAUAUGCCUGUAUCCAUUCUCCUUUCCUCUCCACAAUAUAAACUC